GGUUUUAUACAGGGCGUGAAUCAAUCAUGACGCCAUUAUCAUGCUUGUACUUCACUGUUGUUGCCUGUGCAGCACAGAUGCAGGUGUAGUUACGUCAGUGUGGAAGCCACCACAUGGACCUACCGACCGCCAGCCAUCCGUUCAACAGACAUCUCUACUGAACCUCCAGGAAGAUGCCUGCAAGUCGCUCCUUGACUGCCGAUGUCUAUGAGGACUCUGCGCUCGGGUGCAUCCACAUUCCUCAUUCUCCGUUCGCCUUGGCACAGAACCAGGGGGCUGCUGCUCCAGGUUCCAGUAGUGGCCCAGUCGCUAACUUCCUGGGAGGCAUGACCCUCUCUUGCUCCUCUAGGAAAAGAAAGCCUUGAAGUUAAUGGACAGCCCUCCAAGGUCCUUCUGGCUCUGGCCUUCUGGCCUUGCACCCUUCCUCUUUCCUGGCCUUUCCUCUCUCUCCCCACCCGGGCCCUGUAGAACAACGAAGCAGUGAGUGACAGGGGGGCUUGUUCUGAAAAGCUGCUGUGGCUGUGGCAUCGCUGCUGCUCAGGGCCCAGGAGGCUGAGCAGAGGGGUGAAUCUUCUUCCCGCGCAGGAGGCUUGCACAUUCCCCGUUUCCGGACAUGUUUUCCAUCUGACAUUUCCAACAACGGUCCCCACGUGGGUGCUUCCUCAAGGCAGGUCUGUUUUGCACCUUUUGGGAGAAGCAUCUUCCGUGACAAAUGGUCUCAGUUCAGGCAGAUGGCGAUGCGCUGAGUCCCUGGUUGCCGGGCUGUAUGAACACACUUAUUGUCCCCAAAUGUAAAAAUAAUGAACUUACCGCUGUGCCUGGAACGUCGACAAUGUGAACCAGAUUUGAUUUAUUGGAGCCUCGGAGACCGUCCUUAAUGUGUAGCAGAACAUUGCCUUUUAUUUCCAUCCAAAGUGAAUUUCAAUUGACUCACCCCCACCCCCCCACACACACACCCCCGACCCCCACACCCAGAAACCUUGUUUUGAGUUGGUCGCAGUGAUUAGGAAUUUAAAAGUUCUUUCUUUGUUUUUAAGUGGAUAUAUUAGUUAGAAAUUGGCUCAGCUAUGACCAACGAAAGACACUAACCACAGUGGCGAAAACAUGAUGGGGACUUGGUUCUCUCUCCCGCAGCCUGAAGUUGGGAGAUGGUUCAGCCUGGUAGUGACUCCCAAAUGUCCCCAGUGGCCCAGGCACCUUUAUUCUGCUCUGCCAGCUUUACUUCAUGAUCUCUAUCCUUGGGGAUGUCUUCUUACAAAACGGCUGCUGCAGCUCCAAACCUUACGUCUAAGUUCCAGCAGGGAGAGGAAUAGGAGGGCACAUGCCAAUCAAGUCAGCUGAGAGGCCCACGCAACUCCUACUUAAGUAUCAUUGGCUAGAACUUAAUCAAAUGUCUACUCUACCCCCAUCUGUAAGGAAGCCUGGAAGAUACAAAAUUUUGCUGGUAUAUUGACAUUCCCCCCGCCCCACCGCCACCACCAAAAAAAAAAAAAAAAAAAAAAAAAAAAAAUUUCAGGUUCCAUUAGAAAGAAAAAAGGAGAGAAUGAAUUUGUGGUGGGCAAAUUUGGGACUGUUUUUCCUUCUAAUAUUAAUACAUGUUUGUUCUUUUGUUUGUUUUUAAAUCAAGUACUUCUUUUUGUAAAAAACAUUUUUUAUUGAUUUCAGAGAGGAAGGGAGCCGGAGAGAGAGAUAGGAACAUCAAUGAUGAGAGAGAAUCAACUGGCUGCCUCCUGCACGCCCCCUACUGGGGAUCAAGCCCACAACCCAGGCAUGUGUCCUUGACCAGAAUCGAACCCAGGACCCUUCAGUCCACAGGCCAAUGCUCUAUCUGCUGAGCCAAACCAGCUAGGGCUAAAUUAAUACAUGUUUGUAAGGGUAAACUUGAAAACUAUAAAAAAGAAAAGAAAGAAAUGAUGAUUUUAACUACCCCAAUAGCAUUUAGUGUAAUUACAUGCUUGUUUUGCUUAAUAUUCAUAAAUAUUUUUCUGAUUACAAAAGGAUUUCCUACUCAUUGGAGGAAACUUUGAGCAAAGUGUAGAGAAGAAAACAGGAAUCACCCACAAUAGCAUUACCCAGAGAUGGUCACUGUGCUAUUUUGUUGCAUUUUUGCCAAUUGUAUGUAUAUUUUACAUAUGAAUAACUAUAGUGUAUGUACUAGUAUACACUGGUACUUUUUUUCACUUUCUAAAUAAAAUAAGUGUAUUGACAUAU